GAUGAACGCUGGCGGCGUGCCUAAUACAUGCAAGUCGAGCGGACGGACGAUGAUCUUGCUUCUCUGAUGUUAGCGGCAGACGGGUGAGUAACACGUGUAUAACCUACCUGUAAUACUGGUAUAACUUCGGGAAACCGGCGCUUAUACCGUAUAAGAUCUUGAUCCGUGGUGUUCAAAGGAAAAAUACGGUCGUUCGGUCACGUAUCGAUGCAUCCGCGCUUCAUUAGCUGGUUGUUAAGUUAACGGCUUACGAAGGCAAGUAUGCGUAGACGACCUGAGAGGCGGGUCGGCCACCCGGGAACUGGAACGCGGUCAAGAGUACUAAGGGAGGCAGCAGUAGCGAACCUUACGCAAUGGGCGAAAGUAUGACGGAGUAACGGCGAGUGAGUGACGGCGGUCUUGCGAUCGUAAAAACCUGUUACUAGGGAAGAACAUCUGUGUAAGUAACUGUGCCCAGAGUGACGGUAACUAAUAAGAAAGCAACGGCUAACUACGUG
rnacentral:rRNA from 1 species